rfam:Elaeophora elaphi genomic scaffold, EEL_scaffold_00001_1479205
CGCGCGGGACGACCCGCGCCAGUGUUCGCAUCGGGGACGGCCCCA